GCCCGGUUAGCUCAAUCGGUAGAGCGUGAGACUCUUAAUCUCAAGGUUGCGGGUGAGUAGCAUACCAAUCAGUAUGGCAUUCUACAUAAAAAAUACUGACUCCAACGUAUAGGUUCGACCCCCGCAUCGGGCU
rnacentral:tRNA from 1 species